rnacentral:lncRNA from 1 species
GCACUCCGUCGAGCCCCCGCGCAGCCGUGCCGGAGCCGCAGGGCCUCCGUCCAGCCGCGCGGUCCGGGCAGCCCGCGCCCCCUGUUCUUCCGGUCCUCGGGCCCAGGUACCCCUCUGGACCUCCCCCGCCUGCAGCGCGGAGGCGGCUCCUCUUCAGGUGGCCGGGCCGGGGCCUUCCCCGGCAGACCUGUCACCCGACACCCAGGAAGCGCGCGGCCGGGUCCCGGCUCCCCUUUGUUCCCCCGCUGGGCUCGGCGCUCCGGCGCCGCCCCCUCUCGCGGGGCAGCGGAGGUUUGGGCCCGGGCCGGGCGCGCUUCAAGCUCCGUCCAUGCGGCUCUUUCCAAACCGGGGCCGUUUUUGCCUGGCUUCUCUGGUGUGGACUCCGCGCGGAGCUGAGAGGCGGCUGUGCGCCCAGCCUGGAGCCGGCGCAGGCAAGGUGCGGCGGCGCCUCCCAGGUUUGCGCCCGUCUUCGCAAAGCUCCUGAGGGCGAAAAUCCUGCGAGCCAGGUGGCGGAUUCUCGGGCCGGGUCACUCAGCUCUACGGGUGCGCAUCACCCUCUACCUGUCACCCAGUGAGCCCGACCGAUGGGCACCGAGUCGGCGGAUCUCUGAUCCGAGGCCGAGCCUUCGGAGAAAUCUGUCCUAGUGGCCUCAUCGUGGCCUGAGCGAACGCAAAGGAACCUGCCCCAAGCCCAGCUCUCAGCCUCGACCCCCACAUUCCCCGCGCGGCUCUCGGUUCGGACCUGGGCUCGGAGCGGCAGCCUCCACCACUGCUCGUUUCUUUACCGCUCAAGGCCGCCCCUUCAUGCUCCUGCGGGGGAGUUAGCGGGACCUCUGGAGUCGGCCUUACGCAAAGAAGAGAAAA